rfam:Schistosoma curassoni strain Dakar, Senegal genome assembly, scaffold: SCTD_scaffold0007645
AUUCAGCUGACGAGUCACAAAUAGGACGAGAUGCGCGUCUUGGAU